GAUGAACGCUGGCGGCGUGCCUAAUACAUGCAAGUCGAGCGAACAGACGAGGAGCUUGCUCCUCUGACGUUAGCGGCGGACGGGUGAGUAACACGUGGAUAACCUACCUAUAAGACUGGGAUAACUUCGGGAAACCGGAGCUAAUACCGGAUAAUAUAUUGAACCGCAUGGUUCAAUAGUGAAAGACGGUUUUGCUGUCACUUAUAGAUGGAUCCGCGCCGCAUUAGCUAGUUGGUAAGGUAACGGCUUACCAAGGCAACAAUGCGUAGCCGACCUGAGAGGGUGAUCGGCCACACUGGAACUGAGACACGGUCCAGACUCCUACGGGAGGUAGCAGUAGGGAAUCUUCCGCAAUGGGCGAAAGCCUGACGGAGCAACGCCGCGUGAGUGAUGAAGGUCUUCGGAUCGUAAAACUCUGUUAUUAGGGAAGAACAAAUGUGUAAGUAACUAUGCACGUCUUGACGGUACCUAAUCAGAAAGCCACGGCUAACUACGUG
rnacentral:rRNA from 1 species